GACGAACGCUGGCGGCGUGCCUAAUACAUGCAAGUAGGACGCAGUUUCGAACGGGGGAGUAACGCGUAGGGAACUACCUCUAAGAGGGGGAGAACUAUUGGAAACGAUAGCUAAUACCGCAUACUAGUAGAUGGACCUGCGUUGUAUUAGCUAGUAGGUAGGGGAAAGGACUACCUAGGCAACGAUACAUAGCCGACCGUGGAGUGGUGUAGGCCAAAAUGGGACCGGUGACCGGCCCCGACCCCUAAGGGAGGCAGCCGUAGGGAAACGUCGGGAAUGGGAGGAACCCUGACCCGGCAACGGCGGGGGGAGUAAGAAGGUUUUCGGAUCGUAAAGCCCUGUUGUUAAGGAAACGGUACUUAACCAGAAAGGGACGGCUAACUACGUGCCAGCAGCCGCGGUAAUAC
rnacentral:rRNA from 1 species